rnacentral:snoRNA from 1 species
CCAGUGGGCACCUGGGAGGUCCCUCUCCCCGGGCUCCAUCCAAGUGGCAUUGGGGAGCACAGAGCUCUGUUCUGUGAUGUACAGUCCCUUCCCAUGACAUUGGAGAUGAAGCUGGGCCUCGGGUCUGUGCCUGCAUAUUCCUGCAACUUCCCAGAGUCCUGUGGGAAACACCAUGCAGGAAACAGCC